rnacentral:rRNA from 1 species
UACGUAGGGGGCAAGCGUUGUCCGGAAUUAUUGGGCGUAAAGAGCGUGUAGGCGGUCCGGUAAGUCAGCUGUGAAAGUCAAGGGCUCAACCCUUGAAUGCCGGUUGAUACUGUCGGGCUAGAGUCCAGAAGAGGCGAGUGGAAUUCCCGGUGUAGCGGUGAAAUGCGCAGAUAUCGGGAGGAACACCAAUGGCGAAGGCAGCUCGCUGGGACGGUACUGACGCUGAGACGCGAAAGCGUGGGGAGCAAACAGG